CAGUAGCCGCGGUAAUACGAAGGGUGCAAGCGUUAAUCGGAAUUACUGGGCGUAAAGCGUGCGUAGGCGGUGAGUUAAGUCUGCUGUGAAAUCCCCGGGCUCAGCCUGGGAACUGCGCUUGUGACUGCACAGCUAGAGUAUGGCAGAGGGGGGUGGAAUUCCACGUGUAGCAGUGAAAUGCGUAGAGAUGUGGAGGAACACCGAUGGCGAAGGCAGCCCCCUGGGCCAAUACUGACGCUCAUGCACGAAAGCGUGGGGAGCAAACAGGAUUAGAUACCCGUGUAGUCCCUGUCUCUUAUAA
rnacentral:rRNA from 1 species